UAAACUGGUACAUUGAUCCUAGCCCUCCUAGAGUAUUCUCUCAGGAAAAUUCAGCAGCAGCUGCAUGAUAGAGACAUACUGAGACAAAGAUAUUUAUAUAGACUUUGGUACGACUGUGACCUUUUCAACUACAAUCAACCAUGCCAGUCUUCAUUAGAGUUGAGAUCCAACCAAGACAAAGCUCAGCACUCUCAGAAAUUCCCACAAGAAAUGAAAAUGAGUCAACAGCAGCAUCUCAUGGUCAACAGUGUCUCACUGAAGAGGAAAGUUAAUCUUUAUAGAAGACAUUAGCAGCAGCUGGGUAUCUAUCCUCACUUUGUCUGCUUCUGACAGCUGGUGUCAUAGGAACUUUCAAUCUCUGCCUAGGCCCUUCUUUUAUGGAGCUAAAAACCUAAAGGCUCAUGAACAUCAAAGAAAUUGAAGCCAAAA